rnacentral:rRNA from 1 species
CAGCCGCCGCGGGAAUACAGAGGAUGCAAGCGUUAUCCGGAAUGAUUGGGCGUAAAGCGUCUGUAGGUGGCUUUUCAAGUCCGCCGUCAAAUCCCAGGGCUCAACCCUGGACAGGCGGUGGAAACUACCAAGCUGGAGUACGGUAGGGGCAGAGGGAAUUUCUGGUGGAGCGGUGAAAUGCGUUGAGAUCGGAAAGAACACCAACAGCGAAAGCACUCUGCUGGGCCGACACUGACACUGAGAGACGAAAGCUAGGGGAGCAAAUGGGAUUAGAUACCCCGGUAGUCCCUGUCUCUUAUAC